AAGCAUUCACUUAUUUAAUAUUAAAUCAACUUGAACUUUACAUACAUAUCAUAUCACUUGCCAAUAAAAAUAUGACACUGAUACUGUAACAUCCCAUACUCGACUCGAUCGCUAGAUUCGGGUACCAGAUGCUACAAGAACCCGUUUGAUUUCACUAUACACCCGUGAUAAAUUCAAUUACAUAUAAUAGCCACCUUAACACAUUGGCCUAAUUACCACUAACAUCAAACACUAAAGAAAUUCCAUAAUGUUUUCUUAUGACCUUAGUUUCUAUGCUUAGUUUCAUUGUUUACAUUUAAUCCCACAACUAUUAUGUUUGCCUUAACCCCCAAAACGAAGCCUCUAUAGGUGCCACUCUACAUAUACUUUUAACUUCUUCUAUGCUACACUGAUCAGACGAUAGCUAGCUUGGUCCCUUCAUUUACCUCUCUUGUCACACUUUAUCCUGCAAUUCAGCAGUAAACCUAUAAGUUCUGAUGAACUUAGUGAGAAUCUGCUAAACAAUAUUAUAUAGCCAAUUUGCAAGAGAACGAUAAUAAACAAGUUUUGGGCAAAUAUUUCAACUCCCUAUUUCCUCUUGGUAUAUUACAGAGCUUGCCCGAGAUGUUGCCUCUCUAUUUCUCUUAUAGCCUCUAACUGUCCCAACUCAAUAUUUUUAUAAGAACAAGUGCAUUCCUUCAUGAUAUUGAUCACAUGAUGGGGCGACCUAAUUCUGUCAUACUCCGACUUUACCUUCUUACCCAUUCUUGGUUAUUUAUGGCGAAUUGCUAUCUGCUAGGUAGUCAACGAGCUUAUUUCACCUAUUGCGGACCCUUAUUUACGAAUCCUCAUUGUUCGGGAUUCACUGGAUCACCUGUUGCCACUUGCUACUCUCAUAAUAUGUGUCGCCUUUCUGACGGACUUGGUUUAUGUACUGUUGGCCAUAAUUUGCAUCGUCUUUGGCGAAUUCCUUUAUUAAUCCAUAGAUCCACACCUUUCAGACGCACCUCGCUUAUGCAUACAUGCAAUUUAUUGUGUCAUUCACGUUGUUCUUUAGAUCUUAAUCCAUGAUCUACCUCUAAUAUAGAAAGCUUCCCCAUUGGGGUCCCACAUCUUACAUUCUUAGUAGAUCUUCCCGCAUUUGCUAUUCCGACGGGCCUUCUCACUUUCUUGAAUAAAUGUCUUGCAUUGCAACUCGAGAAAAUAUUUUUGGACAUUUGGGUUUUGAAAUUUCAAGGGAUCCAAAACCAAUAGUGCUUCUUGUUCAAUAGUUCUUCUAGACUUUUUAGAAGGCAUUUUUAAUGAUAUUUAAACUAGAAGACUUAAUCGAAAUCAAACAAUAUAUUUAGAUAAACAAAAGAAUAAUGUAAUAAAAUAGUUAAGAUAGGAAUCCUUAACCUCGGUUUGGAAGUUCGUGAUUCCUCACGAAGGUGUGUUGUAACUACCUUGUUGGUGUGACACUUUUGUCCUUGCACAAUAUAAGAAAAAAAAGAAGAAAAAGAAGAGUUUGAGAGGUUUUAGAAUUAGAGGGAAUUUAGAAAUAGGUUAAAAGUGUUUAAGUUUAAAAAAAUUAGUGUUUUUAAGCAAAAAAUUGGGUAAAAUAAGGGUUAAAACCAUUGGGUUGUGCGAUGGUUCGGGUCGACCUUGCAGAAAAUUGCAUCGAUGUCGCAACAUAAGGGUUCCAUGUCACGACACCUCUGGCAAGAUACCGAUGUCGCGACACGCCUUGAAUUUUUGAAUUCUAAGGUAAAUUGACUUCUUUGUCGAGACACGGAGGGGUUGUGUCACGUAUCGAGCUGAAUUGCUCGAUUUUAUGAACCUGUGUUUGGUGUUGCAACACGGAGGUUCCGUGUUGUGACACCGACUUUGUUUUGGCCCCUCCUCUUAAAUUUCAAAGUGCUUGGAAUAAAUGUUUAAACAAUUGUAGUGCCAAUAUGCUUAGACCCAACAACAUUAAGAAGAAGAUAGUCACUGUUGCAUUCAACAUUAGUCUCAAUCUUUUGAGAAAGAAAAAUAAUAAAAGGAGGAACAUGCCUUCUAAGAAUUCCUUUGUUGUCGUUUCCCAAUUCACCGCUUCCCAAACCAUCACCACUGUCGUGAACCAUUGCCCCACCCAUUGAAGUCCUUGUACCCAUUAUCAUACCCCAACAAUAGCAACAUUGAGCCAAUAACCAAAAAGCCGCAAUAAAAAAAAUAUAUAUAUUCCCUUGUUUUGAAGAGUCCUAAAAACUUAAAGAAUGAGACUUGUGGCGGUGGUGAGUUGGGAAGCGACAGACAGGGGUUUUAAAAACAAAAAAUAAAAAAGAGAAGGGGACAACAAAAGUGAGAGCGAUCGGAGAAGGUAAUUGGAGGCCGAGCAACGGUGCUGGAGCUUAGGCAGCGAAGACGUCGACAAUACAAAGGGGAGACUAGAGUUUUCAGUUGACAUAAGAUUGCUGAUAAACCUAAUCCAUUAG
rnacentral:lncRNA from 1 species